UGGCGAGAGGCUAUGGAGCAGGAGUUUCAUGCUCUCCUUCGUAACAAGACAUGGACUCUCGUUCCUCCACCACCACGGGUAAAUAUUAUUGACUCAAAAUGGGUAUUCAAAGUGAAGAAGCAUUCGGAUGGAUCUAUUGAGCGUUACAAAGCGCGACUUGUUGCUCGCGGUUUUCGGCAGCGCCAUGGUCUUGACUAUGAGGACACCUUCAGUCCUGUCGUCAAGCCUACCACUAUUCGGCUUCUUCUCUCCAUUGCUGUUUCUCGUGGUUGGUCACUUCGUCAACUUGAUGUGCAGAAUGCUUUUCUACAUGGUUUUUUGGAGGAAGAGGUUUAUAUGAAACAGCCGCCUGGUUUCUCUGAUCCUGAUCGUCCUGACUAUAUCUGUCGUCUCUCCAAAGCACUAUAUGGUUUGAAGCAAGCUCCU
rnacentral:rRNA from 1 species